rnacentral:rRNA from 1 species
UACGUAGGGUGCAAGCGUUAAUCGGAAUUACUGGGCAUAAAGCGUGCGCAGGCGGUUAUAUAAGACAGAUGUGAAAUCCCCGGGCUCAACCUGGGAACUGCAUUUGUGACUGCAAGGCUAGAGUACGGCAGAGGGGGAUGGAAUUCCGCGUGUAGCAGUGAAAUGCGUAGAUAUGCGGAGGAACACCAAUGGCGAAGGCAAUCCCCUGGGCCUGUACUGACGCUCAUGCACGAAAGCGUGGGGAGCAAACAGG